AUGGCCACAUCAUAUUAAAACACUAGCUCUCAUACGAUCACUGAAGUUAAGCAACAUUGAGCCUGGUCAGUACCUUGAUGGGUGACCAUUUGGAAAUAUCAGGUGCUGUAU